GGCAGAUCGUUUGAUUAACAGAGAAUGCGUUUAUGAAGCGAAAGCUAACGUGAGCACGUCGAUCCAGGUGGACUCCACCGCCCGGGGCUCGGCCGCUGCCUGGGCCAUCCUGCCCGUCUUGCUGCUGGCCAUGGCUGCCGCAGGCGGAUACCUGAUGUGGAGAAACUGGCAGCUGAGGAACCAGAAGAGCAUGAACUUCGACAAUCCCGUCUACCUGAAGACCACAGAAGAAGACCUGAACAUCGACAUCACGCGGCACGGCGCCAACGUGGGACACACCUACCCCGCUAUCUCCAUCGUGAGCACAGACGACGAUUUAUCCUGAUCCAGUUGGUCGUCGAGUUUUCUUUUCUUCUUCCUCCUUUCUUUUCUUCGUCUUGCGGCAGCUGACGGCGCCGCGUGGCGCCCCCUGGCGGUCCGCGGCGGCAGCUGCAGCCCUCACGGUCCGACCACAUGCCUUCUGAAGUGCAUUACGUCCUUUAUCUGUGGCCAAGACCAACCUUUAUUUAUUAUGUGAAUAUCCAGAGUGUCAAAGACUUUUUUCUUUUUCUUUGUUAGUUUUUUGUUUUUCUUUCCGGGCCACAGACCACUUCCUGCCAUUUCUUUUGCCCCGCCCUGAUAGGGGAACCCAUUUCCUCCAUC